rnacentral:rRNA from 1 species
CCUACGGGAGGCAGCAGUGGGGAAUUUUGGACAAUGGGCGCAAGCCUGAUCCAGCCAUGCCGCGUGCGGGAAGAAGGCCUUCGGGUUGUAAACCGCUUUUGUCAGGGAAGAAAUCCUUUGAGCUAAUACCUCGGGGGGAUGACGGUACCUGAAGAAUAAGCACCGGCUAACUACGUGCCAGCAGCCGCGGUAAUACGUAGGGUGCGGGCGUUAAUCGGAAUUACUGGGCGUAAAGCGUGCGCAGGCGGUCUUGCAAGACAGGUGUGAAAUCCCCGGGCUUAACCUGGGAACUGCACUUGUGACUGCAAGGCUGGAGUACGGCAGAGGGGGAUGGAAUUCCGCGUGUAGCAGUGAAAUGCGUAGAUAUGCGGAGGAACACCGAUGGCGAAGGCAAUCCCCUGGGCCUGUACUGACGCUCAUGCACGAAAGCGUGGGGAGCAAACAGGAUUAGAUACCCUGGUAGUCCACGCCCUAAACGAUGUCACUGGUUGUUGGACGGCUUGCUGUUCAGUAACGAGCUAACGCGUGAAGUUGACCGCGNGGGAGGACGGCCGCGAGUAGUUAACGUUACGAAGAAGUUAGACGGCGNGAGACGNGCGACGGACGACGACGAGGGAGGAGG